rnacentral:rRNA from 1 species
UAACCUGGUUGAUCCUGCCAGUUGUCAUAUGCUGCAAAUGUCAGAGUACUUGCGUUUCGACGCCGAGAGGUCUGACAGCUCGCAGAGCUGUCUGGUCCUAGCUGCCGCCACUUGACUAUUGUGCUUUCAUUAAUCAAGGACGAGAGAUAGGGGAUCGAAGAGGAUUAGACACCCUCGUAGUCCUUUCCUUAAACUCUGCAAACUUGGGAUCGGUCAGCGCUCUCUUUUUUGACCCGAUCGGCACCUCCCCCUUCUAUCGAGAAAUCAAAGUCAAGGCUGAAACUUAAAGGAAUUGACGGAGAACCACCACCAGUCGUGGAUUGUGUGGCUUAAUUCGACUCAACACGGGAAAUCUUAGCUAUGUAGGACAUGGGCAGGAUUGCCAAGUUAAAGCCUUUGCUUGAUUCCAUGAAGGGUGGUGCAUGGCCGCUUCUGGUUGGUGAAUGUGAUUUGUCUGCUUAAUUGCGAUAACGAACGAGAUCUCUGCCAAUUACUAGAUGCUGCUUUCGCUUUGUAGGUUGGGUUUGGGAACGUAUGGUUUCGGCCUGCGGUCUCUUAUCCACCGAGAAGGCAGAGCUUUUACUUAUUGGGAUUAUGCGUCUUCUAAACGCAUUGAAACAAGAGCCCAAAGCAGGUCUGCGAUGCUCCUAAAUACAUAGCGCCGCACGCGCAAGACACUGACUCAGCCAACGAGUUUCUGCCUAGCAGCCUGGUCCGAAA